AACUGGUGGUCUGGAUUCAGCGAGUUAUUAUUGCUAGCAAGUUGGAUCGUUACAUUUAGAAUCAAAGACUGAUAACUAGCCGAAAAUGUAAGACUGAUCUCAAGUGUGAUGAAUUUAUAAGUGACGUACAUAUUAGUAAUAAUAACUGGAUUUAAAUACUUUCGACUGGUGGUCUGGAUUCAACGAGUUAUUAUUACUAGCAAGUUGGAUCGUUACAUUUAGUAUCAAAGACUGAUAAUUAACUAGCCGAAAAUGUAAGAUAGAUCUCACAUUAUCUGUUGAAUCUGGGACUAUAUGUGUGAUUGGGCCGGACUGACGAGGACGCCAGGCUCUGAAAGUAAGGGGAGUAUGUAACACCACAAUAGUCCCACAUCAGAUAAUGUGGAAGAGUGUAAUGAGUUUAUAAGUGACUGACACAUUAGUAAUAAUAAGUGGGCUUAAGCAUUUUGAGUUGAACUCUAUAUCACUUAUUCUGAUACAAUGUUAUGGAGUGCAAAACAACCGUUCUCUUCAAAAACUUAAGAUACCAAGAAAAGUUUUUUUGUUUAUUUUGAGAGAGAGAUGGGUAGCAUGCUAUCCGCUUCGUUUAUUUCUUUUAGAAAUAAACUUAGCUGGAAAUAUGAAUCAGCUAUGAUUCGAACUUGGGAUUUCGGGUACCAACCAUUAAGCCUUUUGCCACUUGCGUCAGGGACGGUCGGUGAUUUGUAUUUUAUGUCCAGCAAAUUUACAU
rnacentral:lncRNA from 1 species